rnacentral:rRNA from 1 species
AACGAACGCUGGCGGCGUGCCUAACACAUGCAAGUCGAGCGGGAAAGUUCCCUUCGGGGAGCGAGUACAGCGGCGAACGGGUGAGUAACACGUAGGCAACCUACCCCGGAGACCGGGAUAACCUGUCGAAAGGCGGGCUAAUACCGGAUAAGACCACGAGGGCCUCGGCCCUUGAGGUAAAAGGUGGCCUCUGCUUGCAAGCUAUCACUCCAGGAUGGGCCUGCGCGCCAUUAGCUAGUUGGGAGGUAACGGCUCACCAAGGCGAAGAUGGCUAGCUGGUCUGAGAGGAUGGCCAGCCACACUGGGACUGAGAUACGGCCCAGACUCCUACGGGAGGCAGCAGUGGGGAAUCUUGCGCAAUGGGCGAAAGCCUGACGCAGCGACGCCGC